CCUACGGGAGGCAGCAGUGGGGAAUAUUGGACAAUGGGCGAAAGCCUGAUCCAGCCAUGCCGCGUGUGUGAAGAAGGCCUUCGGGUUGUAAAGCACUUUCAGUGGGGAAGAAAGCCUUGGGGCUAAUACCCUCGAGGAAGGACAUCACCCACAGAAGAAGCACCGGCUAACUCCGUGCCAGCAGCCGCGGUAAUACGGAGGGUGCGAGCGUUAAUCGGAAUUACUGGGCGUAAAGCGCGCGUAGGCGGUCUGAUAAGCCGGUUGUGAAAGCCCCGGGCUCAACCUGGGAACGGCAUCCGGAACUGUCAGGCUAGAGUGCAGGAGAGGAAGGUAGAAGUCCCGGUGUAGCGGUGAAAUGCGUAGAGAUCGGGAGGAAUACCAGUGGCGAAGGCGGCCUUCUGGACUGACACUGACGCUGAGGUGCGAAAGCGUGGGUAGCAAACAGGAUUAGAUACCCUGGUAGUC
rnacentral:rRNA from 1 species